UACGUAGGGUGCGAGCGUUGUCCGGAAUUAUUGGGCGUAAAGAGCUCGUAGGCGGCUCGGUAAGUCAGGUGUGAAACCUCCAGGCUCAACCUGGAGACGCCACCUGAUACUGCCGUGGCUAGAGUCCGGUAGAGGAGCGUAGAAUUCCUGGUGUAGCGGUGAAAAUGCGCAGAUAUCAGGAGGAAUACCAGCGGCGAAGGCGGCGCUCUGGGCCGGUACUGACGCUGAGGAGCGAAAGCGUGGGGGAGCAAACAGG
rnacentral:rRNA from 1 species